ACCCAAAAUCAACUCUCUGAUGUUCCAAAAACAAAGCCUGCCCACUCCAGAGCAGCGGGUCAGCAAGGUCAACUGAAGCCCCAGUCCAGAGGGUAAUGUCCACCACAGAGCUGAGCCUGUAGGACACAAGCCCCCGCAGGGAUCUGUGCACUGUCACCCUGCCUUUGGGCUCCUCCCAUACUCCUGGACUCCCCAGAAUGAAAACCCCCUAGCCGAGUUCUCUCCACCCCAGGGAUAUGGGACCAGAGAGCAGGCAAGAUGGCAGGACCCUGCAGGACCCGAGCCAGAAGGAGGUAGUCAAGCAUGGUGAGGCUGGACAUACAGGUUCUGGCCUGCUGCGGAUGCUGGGGAUGGAGACCCUUGCUGCCCAGGCCAACAUGAGGCGGAAGUAGGAGCAGAGGGCUGGCCACUGUGGGGCAGGUUGGUUCUGAGCCCCGACCUCUGCCAUCCAGGCUGAUGCCCCCAUGAAUGAGGAGGUGGCCAUAUCCGCAAGUCCCACCCCAACUUGGAGGCCAUCAAGGAUGGGAGAGAGAACAAAGGCUCAAAGCCUGCCAAGGUGCCUGGCGCUGGACGGACGGCCUCAGGUGUAGCUUUGUCUUUAGGAGGUGGCUGAGGUCACCUGGCUAACAUCCUGUUCUAGCCUCUCAUCAGCCUGCCGAAGGUCCUCGAACUUCUGCCUCAGUGUGUCCCCCGCCUGCCGCAGCCUCUCGUUCAUGGCCACAUAGGCCCGGCUCUGUUGGUAGAGCUGCUCGAGCCGGGCCUCAGGGUCCUCGGCCCUUGGAGAUAGAUCUGGGGGUUCUGGAGAGGAGAAACAGUGGGUCAGGGGUUGGAAGUCAUCCUUGGCUACACAGUGAGUUGGAGCCCUGCCUGGGCUACGUGAGACCUGUCUAGGCCCUAGAAAAUAGAGUCAGUUACAGUCCUGACAAAACCCCAUGCUUCGGGAGUCACCGAGAGGACAGGACCCUUGAUGUCCCACCCAGGGCUGCUUGGGUUUCUGGAUUCUAGGGGAAUCGCAGAAAACAGCCCCUGUACGUAUCGUUUCCCCAGAUUUCCACGUAGGAGCCACUGGGCUUGGAUUUUUUUCCUUUUUCCCUUUGAGACAAGGCCUUGAACUCACAGCAAUCCUCCCGCCCCUGACUCCCAGGUUGGCUUAAGUCAUCAAGCUCGCCGGCCCUUCACCUUUGCUUCUGGUGACCCCACUUGACAGAGUCAGAGAGGGCCGCUAACAGAGAGGCAAAAGUCAGGUUUGCUCCCGACUUGGACAGGCUGGGACCCCGCAGUUUCGCGUUCUCCUACCUUCUGGGGCCAGGGCGGUGAAAACAGGGUCGUUGGGGGGCGCCCCUCGCACGUCCUCCAGGAUCUGCUCCACCGUGGGCGGCGCGGGGCGCGUGGGCAGCACCACGCGUUUCUUGCCUUUGGAGCUCAUCUUGCAGGCGGAGGAGCGCGCGCUGUCAGCAGGUCCACUCUCCACUUGGCCUUCCCACCCUGCGAACCUCUCUAUGCACCCGUUACGGCCCUGUGCCGAGGCCCAUUCCUUGUCUCGCCUUCUCCUUUCCCGGGGUCUCAGAGUUUGGCUUAAACCCGGCCUAACUGAGCCCCCUAAAAUCCCUACUCCAAGUCGCCACCACUUCCGCUUCCUGUUUGAGCGCCGCUCCGUUCUUGCACUUCCGGUCCUCUCCAACUCCGGUCCUCGGGAAACCCCUCCCCGGUCUUAAAGAGCCCUAGGCCUAGACGUUCCUAAGAGCAGUCUAAAAGGAUCAAAGGCUUUCCCUGACCAUGAAUGGCAGGAGGCGCGAGUGCUAGACGUGAGUUAGAGUCCCCCUGGUUGGGCAGAAACUAGGAGUCAGUGUCUAACCACUGCCAGGUACACAGUGGGUACUCAAUAAAUACUGGGUGGUGCCUAUCCACAGGGUAACGUGUUUCAGGGACCUUGUUUCCUUGUCCUGAGUGGUGGCACACGCCUUUAGUCCCAGCACUCAGGAGGCAGAGACAGGUGGGUCUCUGAGUUCGAGGCCAGCCUGGUCUACAGAAUGACUUAAUUACUCUGUCUUAAAAACCAGCACUAACAGCAACAAAAGAAGGAAAGAGAAAAGAGCUAGUCUUCUGCUCAUGGCUGUGCUGUAUCUUGGCACUGGACCGUACUUUGGCCCAGGCUCUCUCCUCCCACCGGGGGUCUCUGGGCCUGGAGCAGUCUCUUUACUCCCUUUAUGGCUCCUUAGUCCUCCAGGGGCCCUUGUCUUAUUUGGGUGACCCUGGGCACCCCCUACCCUGAAGGACACCACAAACUUGACAUCUAUUUAACUUUUAUUUGCCAACUAUGAGGUCAGACACGGGGCUUGUGGACGGUUCUGGGCAGGAAGGGCAGAUGUUUGGUGGCUGUGGUUUGACCUCUGUCCACUGCACCCCUUGUCCUGCUCCAAAAUGCAUAAGGAGACACCUCUUCCACUGGGAGUAGCCAUGGCCCACACAGUGGGCUGCUGCUGAUCUGCCAAGGCCUUCUGGGGCAGGGUCCUAUUCCAGCCUGGGAGCGGGGCCUUGGGGUACCACCCACUGUUCUUUGAGUCAGGCAUCUCUGGUUCCCCAGCCUUCAGGGUCUCAGGCAUUGGGGUGUCUAGCCUAGGGUGGGUGGGCCUUCCUCAAGCCAAGAGGGGUCUCCUGAAAGCCCUGGCCAGUCGGGCCAGCACCAUGGCCCGGGACUGAUAGCUGGGAUGGCCGCCAGAGGUAGCAGGCCUUGGAGGAGCCCUGGAGCUCGUCCAGCAUGAAGGACAGGGGACAGGCAGCGUAGCUGCUGGUCAAGCUGCCUCAGCAGGUGCAUAGGAGGGUGACAGCCGGCCUGUCCCUCGGUCACUGGCUGCUCUGUGUGGCUGUGGAGCCACCGUCACUCUCAGCUAGAGAUGAGGCAGAGCCAGGCCAGGCUGGUGGAGGAACUGUGACUGUCUGUAUGGACAGAAGGGGACAGGGUUGAGACUGCAGCUGGAGGUACAGCCAGUACCCGCCCGCCCAUCCCGGGGCCGCUGCGCCUCCUCCCCCAACAAGUGACCAUGCGCUGCGGCCACUCACCCUGGCGCAGCCCCUCUGUGUCCCUCUGCACACACGUGCGGCUGGUCACCUGGGGGCCCUGGGGCCGCGCUGUCAUGUCCUCGGCCGUCCCGUACAGCAGCAGCGUGUAGUAGAACAAAGUUCCUGAGGCAGGGGUCACGGUGGGCACAGGGGGACCGGCCGUCAGUGGCCUGCCAGGCUCCCACCCAGGCCCAUGUCAGCUGAGCCUGGUUGCUAUCCACCUACUGUGCCAGUGGCUGGAGGCCCUCACUGCCUCAGGACAACUGCACCUACUGUGUGCUAGUGGCCAGACCUCACACCCUCCAGUAGAUAACACUUUGUUAUUUACCACCGGUCAGACCACCCCCAUGAUUCUUCCAGGUUUUUGCACACCUACUGUGUACCAAUAGCUAGGCUUCCCUCCUUUCCUCAGGUGACUUCACCUACUGUGUGCCGCUGUGCUCAGACCCCCACCACCAUCCAUUUCCUUCAGGGAACCUUAUACCUAGUAUGCACUAAUGGCCAGAUCCACACUUCCCCCAUGGUAGUACACCUACUGUGUGCCAGUGGCCACAGCCUCCCUCCCCCACGUUGCUCUACUGUGUACUGGUGACUGGGACUCAACCAUCCUCUAGGUAACAACAUCUACUGUGUGCUAAAGUAAUUGUUACAUGGUCUCUCCAAGAAAACCUCUGGGUUGUGGGACCUGUAGCUGUAGGUCAACCAAAACAGAGUCCCCAGCCCGGCAGCCACAGCCCUGCAGCCACAGCCCGGCAGUCACAACCCGGUAGGCACAGCCUGGCAGCAGCCCACUCUCUCACCUGUGUUAAAAUAGUAGCCCUUGUUCUCCAGACCCAGGGUCCACAGGCCCUGAGGGUCCUCAUCCCAGUAGUGGGUGGACAUGAAGAUCCAGUUCUUGUAGCCUUGGCCGCUGAUAUCCAAGGGUCUGUGGCCAAAGGGUGGCAUGGGAGAGACAGGAAGGAUGGUGGCUCACACGUGUCUACUGAGUCCCACCUGCGUAGGGUACCACCUGCAGGAGGACUAGGCAGGACUCCACUCGCCCACAGGGUCCCUUGGGAGGAUCUCACACCUGAUGGCCACGAGCGUGGAGCGUGUGCCCAUGGGGCUGGUGAGAGAGAUCUCCAGGUCCCCGCGGCGGCUGUAGGAGAGUGACAGCUGGACCUGCACGUGCUCGAGCGAGCGGAUGAGGCGGUGCGAGCCAUCGGAGCACACGGACACGUUCUUCCUCACCAGCAUCCGAGGCAGGAUGGAGCUGGUAAGGUGAGGACGGUCCUGGGGGCCUGCCGUGGGCCGGGUGGCGCCCGGAGGCGGGUCUGGGGGGUGUCGAAGGACCUGAGGGCACUCUCCUCCCUUAGAUGGGUAAAUUGAGGCUUUGGGACAUCCUCCUUGCCUUGGACUAGGGUGAGGAGGGAGGGGAGGAGGGAGGCUGCAACGUCGGGCACGGGUGGACCUGCCUCCUAGGAAUGUGGGAGGGGCCUUCUUCCAGUGGGCGUGACUGGGGCUUCCCCUAGUGGGGCGGGGUGGGGGGCGGGGCCUCCCUCACGUUGGGGUGUGCACCACCCGAAUGGCACAUUUCUUCUGUGGCUGCGUGGGAAGCCACACGCGAGCCAGGUCCACCAGCAGCCCUGCAUCCAGCAGCCCGUAGCCGUAGUGGUGGCUCACUGCGCGGGAGGGGUAGCCGUCACUCGCCCUGCAUGCACGGCACCCCAGUCCCCUCCCUGGCCCCGCCGCACCUUGGCGCCCCACGCCGUUGAUCCUCCAGUCCUCCGCCUGCAGCUGCGCCGGCCUGGACGCGCGGACCACCAGGUGCUGUAGGUCCCUCCAGGUCAGGAGCGGGCUGGGGGGGCGAGGGCGGGUGAGCCGGGCGCCGCCCGUGGGGGCGGGGCGGUGGGCGGGGCCCCACGGUCACCUACUUGGCCUCCAGAGCCAGUGCGAUCAUGCCCGCAGCCAGCGGGGCGGAGGCCGAGGUGCCCGUGUGUUUGUCGGUACACUGGUGGUGCAGGUCCGUGGUGACCUGGUGACAGACAGCAGAGGGAUCUUGAGCCCAGUGCGCGGUCCAGAUGGAUGAUUUGUUUGGAAGGUACUGGGGACUAAGUUCACAAAGUGCUGAAGAUUGAGCUAAGUAUGAAGACACAGAGGACUAAGCUCAAAAGGUACUAAAAGCCCCAGCCAGGCCCGGUGAUGCAGGUGCUCAAACCCAGCACUUGUGGAGCUGUGGCAGGCGUAGCUAGGACUUCUAGGCUAGCCUGGUUUAUGUAUGGUGAAUACGAAUGGCUAAGUUUAACAAGUACUGAGGACUGAGCUCAACAAUUUCUAAGGGCCGAGGUUUAAAACUGCUAAGGACUAGUUUCCCAAACCACCGAGCACUGAGUUCAUUCGUAAUGAUACACGGCCCUACAUCUAAAAAAAAAAAAAAAAAAAAAAAAAAAAAAAAAAAAAAAAGCAACCACUCCUUUAAUCCCAGCCCUUGGGAAGCAAAAACAGUUAAAUCUCUGAGUUCGGGACCAGGUCUACAGAGCGAGUUCCAAGACUGCUAGGGUGGUUACCCUGACUCGAAAACACCAAGAAAAGAAAAAGUGCCAAAUUCUGAGACUUCAUCUCGACAAGCGCCUGAACCCUGGUACUUCAAUCUGGGGGACAGAAGUGCUGAGGCAGGAACCUCAACUGCAGACACCAGGUGGGUAGGGGGCAGAGGCCCUGUAUGUGACAUGUGGCGUGCGAGACCAGGGAGCAGAUUCCAGCAGAGGCAUUGGCGCGGAUCUUGCCCAGGGAGGCAGAGGAGUUGCUAAGUGGGCCGACAUGGUUGCGUCUAGUUUGGAAGGGGGUCGGAGGGGCUGUGAGCCCGAGCCGGGUCGAGAGGGGCGGGGUCUGGGGAGAUCUCUACGGGGGCGGUGCCUGUGCUGAGGGCUUGGCUGGGCGCUCACGAUCUGUGGGUCGGUGGCAACUCCGCUGCUGAAGGUGGUGGUGAACGUGGAGGCGCAGGCCUCGCUGUACCAGGGCACUUGACCCUGCCGCGUGGUGCUGCCCACUGACAGCGUGUGGAUGCUGUUGGUGUAGCCAUCACAAUUGCAGUUGUCAUAAUGGAGGCCACCGUUUCCCGAGGCCCAGAUGAACAGUGUACCCAGACCUUGGCGGCCCUGCGUGGGAAGUGACCCAGGAGAAGGAGUCAGCCCUUCAACCUCAGGGUUGGGGCCCCUCCGCCCACGGUGCGCUCCCUGUGCACCUUGGUCACGCCACGCCUGAAGGCCUCCCGAGUGAGGAUGCCUGGUCCGUCCACCGUGCGACCAUCAUCCUCGGGUCCCCAGCUGGCGCUAUAGAUGUGUAUGUGCUGCGGCUGCAGGCUGAGGGACUGCGCCUCCACGAUGUCUGUGAUGGUUCCGUCCAACAUGCGCACGCCUGCGCGGGUGGGCGUGGGCCUUGCGCCAGCACCAACACUGCUUGCCCUACUAGGCCACCUCCCUGCCACCUUUUAGUAACCCUCAGCUUGGGGCUUGGCACUGCCCAGCAACCCGUGGUGGGAACGGGGGAGGGGGUUGGGAGUGGUGUUCCUCUAUUGAUCAAGCUUAUCCUCACAUCCCCCAGCCUCCACCCCUGGUACCUCCAAUUCUGGCGUUGAAGGCUACACCAGCGCCACAGAAGCCAUUGUUAGCUGUGGCAGACACCUCCCCAGCGCAGCGGGUCCCAUGCCUGAUUCCAGGGAGGAAAGUAGCCAUGUCAUAGCCCACCGUGGAAUUUCUGCCGGCUGAGGGAAUCCCUGGUACAGCAGCGCCUAGCUUACCGGUUCUCAUCGCUGGUGCCGAGAUGACAGGCGUGAGCUCUCAGGCCUGGUUGAAGUGCACUGGAUGGAACCAGGGACUGCCAGCUUGUUGAGCAAGUGCUCCGCCCAUUGAGCCUCGGCCCCUCUGGUCUCUAGCAGUCGGCCUGCUCCUCCCUGAGCAAGGGCCUUUGCAUGUGCUGCUCUGCUGAUACCAGCUCAAGCCCCCCUCUCCUCACACCUCCUUCUUACUCUCAUGAGCUGCGCUCUCCUGGGUAACCUGACUUGAUCUAUCUGUCCGUCCACCAAUCCAACUCAUCUCCAUUCUCUUCUGGCCUCUGAAGACACUUAGUCCCUGGGGAGAUUUGCAGGAGAAGGAUCCCACAGGCUCUGACAGCUAGUUUACAAAUGUGUGGCCUUGUUUGAGAAGGAGUGUCACCAGGAGGCGGGUGGAAGGCUCUGAGGUGAAUUUCCCAGUUAGCUCUCUCUGUAGGUUAGCAGUCACUGCCCCAGCGUGCCAGCCUGCUUGCUCGCUGCCAUGUCCCCCGACAUGGUGGGCAUAGAUGCUGUAAAUUCUAAUAAACUCUUCCUUCUCUAA